UAGCUCCUUUAGUUUGUGUUCUGUGAUACAGGAAUUGCUUCCUAGUCAGCUUCCUAAAAUCCUGCUUUAUCCUAAACUCCUAAGGACAGAAAAGAGCCAAGCAUGGGAUCAGAGAGUGCCAACUUCAGGAUGUCUAUCCCAUUAGCAGCUGUUUUUGGUCUGGUAGCUGUCUUGUAUGAAGGUAUUAGAAGACUUUUCAAGUACAUGAACAGCCCUAAAGGUGGCAAUAGGAAUAUGUGAGCCCAGAAAACAUCUAAACAGCAUUCAACGAAAUCCAAGUGAAAUCUACCAUAUAAUUGAGCAAAUCUAAAGAGUGUCUUUCACUGGAACCCAAAGAAGUCCUCCACCUUCUGGGCUUUCCUAAGCCAAGGUCUCCCUUUUCUAACAAAUAAAGAAAUAUCUUACCCAUUGCUUUCACCCUGAA